rnacentral:lncRNA from 1 species
UCUUUUGAUACGUCUUGAUCUCUUCCUCUUCCCUACCUGUGUUUCUCACUCCUCUUUUCUAUCCAAUGUUUUUCUCGUGGUUUCUACAAACACCGAUUCCAUAUUAAAUCCACUCUUCCAGUGCUUCUUCCGAUCAUAAUUCUUCUUCUUCACCCCUUACCGACUUAAACUUUUACCAUCGGCUUCUGGCUAACGUUUUUAUGUGUAUCUGUUUUUUCUCCCACGCGAUCUUUCACCCUUCAUGUCAUUUUCGAUCUACCGAGGAGUAGACCCCUUCAGGCGCAGUGCAAUUGUUGAUUUCUCCGACUUUGAGUCCGUGAAAGUUGAAAUACAUAGUGCAAUUUGUGAGUUUUCUGAACUUCUGCUCCUUCCUAUGAGAAUUUGAGAGGAUUUGAUAUGCCCCUGUAUUUCGCAGCCAUCAUCCUCCAUGUUUUUCUUUUGCUUCUUCUUUAUUUUUUGUGUUUCUUUUUAAAUCAGGCAAUGUUAUUCAAUAAUUUGCCUUAGGGUUGAUGAUAAUGAUCGACAAAGGGGAGGGGGAUGGUCCUCGAUUUCCGUUACGGAUGCAGGAUGACCAGCGAUGAAUUGGGGAGGAACAAAAUCAAGUUCUUAGAUAUACAAUCCUCACCCUUUCAUCGCCAAUUCUAAAAGGUAAUAUUUUUCUCCUUUUAAUCAUAGUAUAUUUAAUACUUAAUUCCGUUAUACAAGAUCUACCAAUUGACUUUCUUAUGAAAACAACCCAAGAGACAAUUUGGAAGGUCAAAAUCUUCGUUUUGAGAUUGCAAGAACAGCCGCAAGUAAAUUCUUUCAUUUCAUCUUUACUUUUUACUUGUGUGUCGAAAUAUUCAUCUUAUUUUCACCAUUAAAGCCAUAUUAAUAUCGUCAUUCGCAGGUUAAACGAUGAUUUUUUCUCUUACCUCAAGCUUGAAUUAGACAACUUCAAUUUGUUGUAUUAGAAAAUGAGGUAUGAUUUUUUCUUACCCUGUUCUUACUGACUUUACUAUUACUAUUGCAGAUUCUGAAUAUGAUAAAAAAUGACCUUAUGAAAAUCAUAAAUAUUAUAUGUGAACAUAAUAGAUUAGCAUUUCUAUCUAUUGCUCUCCUUAUGUUUAAGGAUUCCAUUCCUGAAAGUUCUUCUUAGGUUUCAUGAUUGGCUGAAUUCAAGAAAUUGGAGAGACUGGACCUCACCUUUACCAAUUUGUUGUUUCUUG